CCUACGGGUGGCAGCAGUCGAGAAUCAUUCACAAUGGGGGAAACCCUGAUGGUGCGACGCCGCGUGGGGGAUGAAGGUCUUUGGAUUGUAAACCCCUGUCAUGUGGGAGCAAAUUAAAAAGAUAGUACCACAAGAGGAAGAGACGGCUAAAUCUGUGCCAGCAGCCGCGGUAAUACAGAGGUCUCAAGCGUUGUUCGGAAUCACCGGGCGUAAAGUGUGCGUAGGCUGUUUCGUAAGUCGUGUGUGAAAGGCGCGGGCUCAACCCGCGGACGGCACAUGAUACUGCGAGACUAGAGUAAUGGAGGGGGAACCGGAAUUCUCGGUGUAGCAGUGAAAUGCGUAGAUAUCGAGAGGAACACUCGUGGCGAAGGCGGGUUCCCGGACAUUAACUGACGCUGAGGCACGAAGGCCAGGGGAGCGAAAGGGAUUAGAUACCCCUGUAGUC
rnacentral:rRNA from 1 species